rnacentral:rRNA from 1 species
UACGUAGGGGGCGAGCGUUGUCCGGAAUCAUUGGGCGUAAAGAGCGUGUAGGCGGGCCGGAAGGUCUGGUGUGAAAGCCCGGGGCUCAACCCCGGAGGGUCACCGGAAACCGACGGUCUUGAAUCUGGAAGAGGAGAGUGGAAUUCCUGGUGUAGCGGUGGAAUGCGCAGAUAUCAGGAGGAACACCAAUGGCGAAGGCAGCUCUCUGGUACAUGAUUGACGCUGAGACGCGAAAGCGUGGGGAGCGAACAGG